UUCUAUCUUCGGGGCAGGGUGCAAUUCCCGACCGACGGUGACAGCAGGAAAUACUGCUGAAGUCCGUGACCCGCAGAACUUAGUUCUGCGGCUGAUCUGGUGUAAGUCCGGGACCGACAGUGAAAGUCUGGAUGGGAGAAGAUACGA
rnacentral:ncRNA from 1 species